rnacentral:tRNA from 1 species
UGUCCUGUGGCUAAGGUGGUUAAAGCGCUGGGCUAGCGAUACGGAGUCGUGGGCUCAAAUCCCCCCAAAACAA